rnacentral:rRNA from 1 species
UGCCAGCCGCCGCGGUAAUACGGAGGGUGCGAGCGUUAAUCGGAAUUACUGGGCGUAAAGCGCGCGUAGGCGGUCUGGUCAGUCGGAUGUGAAAGCCCCGGGCUUAACCUGGGAAUUGCAUUCGAUACUGCCAGGCUAGAAUGUGGGAGAGGCAAGUGGAAUUUCCGGUGUAGCGGUGAAAUGCGUAGAGAUCGGAAGGAACACCAGUGGCGAAGGCGGCUUGCUGGCCCAACAUUGACGCUGAGGUGCGAAAGCGUGGGGAGCGAACAGGAUUAGAUA